rnacentral:lncRNA from 1 species
CUGACACCACAGCAGGGAGCAGGGAUUGGAGGCCCAUCAGGCUGUGGAGAGGUCACCUCCUCCAGCACUUUCUGGGGCUUUGUUUUGCUUUCUCUGACCUGGCCCUCUACCUACAGAGCUCCCUGGCUGGCUGUCCAUGGCCAUAAGAGAAAGUUCCUCCUGGCUUCAACUUUCUGAAGUUCUGCCUACAGAGUUCACCUCAAAGUAGAAGGGUCCCUGGGGCUGAUUCACUCCUUGCGGCGGGGGGCACCUGAGCCAACCUGAGGCUGUACUGGCCAAGACAUGGCAGCAAAGCCCAGAUCCCAGAGUGGAGAGGCUGAUGGGGGCAAAGCUGUUGUUGGGGCCAAGGCACAGUAAAGUUGUC